rnacentral:rRNA from 1 species
AUCGAUGAAGAACGCAGCGAAAUGCGAUAAGUAAUGUGAAUUGCAGAAUUCAGUGAAUCAUCGAAUCUUUGAACGCACAUUGCGCCCUCUGGUAUUCCGGGGGGCAUGCCUGUUCGAGCGUCAUUAUAACCACUCAAGCUUACGCUUGGUAUUGGGGUUCGCGGUCUCGCGGCCCCUAAAAUCAGUGGCGGUGCCUGUCGGCUCUACGCGUAGUAAUACUCCUCGCGAUUGAGUCCGGUAGGUCUACUUGCCAGCAACCCCCAAUUUUUACAGGUUGACCUCGGAUCAGGUAGGGAUACCCGCUGAACUUAAGCAUAUCAAUAAGCGGAGGAAAAGAAACCAACAGGGAUUACCUCAGUAACGGCGAGUGAAGCGGUAACAGCUCAAAUUUGAAAGCUAGCUCUUUUAGGGUUCGCAUUGUAAUUUGUAGAAGAUGCUUCGGGUGUAGCUCCGGUCUAAGUUCCUUGGAACAGGACGUCAUAGAGGGUGAGAAUCCCGUAUGUGACUGGGUGCUUUCGCUCAUGUGAAGCUCUUUCGACGAGUCGAGUUGUUUGGGAAUGCAGCUCAAAAUGGGUGGUAAAUUUCAUCUAAAGCUAAAUAUUGGCCAGAGACCGAUAGCGCACAAGUAGAGUGAUCGAAAGAUGAAAAGCACUUUGGAAAGAGAGUUAAACAGUACGUGAAAUUGUUGAAAGGGAAGCGCUUGCAACCAGACUUGCGCGCUGAUGAUCAUCCGGGCUUCUGUCCGGUGCACUCGUCUGCGCUCAGGCCAGCAUCGGUUUCGGUGGUGGGAUAAAGGCCUUGGGAAUGUAGCUCCUCUCGGGGAGUGUUAUAGCCCUCGGUGCAAUGCCGCCUACCGGGACCGAGGACCGCGCUUCGGCUAGGAUGCUGGCGUAAUGGUUGUAAGCGACCCGUCUUGAAACACGG